GUGCUUAACACAUGCAAGUCGAACGGUAAGGCCCUUCGGGGUACACGAGUGGCGAACGGGUGAGUAACACGUGGGUAAUCUGCCCUGCACAUCGGGAUAAGCCUGGGAAACUGGGUCUAAUACCGAAUAGGACCACAGAACACAUGUCCUGUGGUGGAAAGCUUUUGCGGUGUGGGAUGGGCCCGCGGCCUAUCAGCUUGUUGGUGGGGUGAUGGCCCACCAAGGCGACGACGGGUAGCCGGCCUGAGAGGGUGUCCGGCCACACUGGGACUGAGAUACGGCCCAGACUCCUACGGGAGGCAGCAGUGGGGAAUAUUGCACAAUGGGCGAAAGCCUGAUGCAGCGACGCCGCGUGGGGGAUGACGGCCUUCGGGUUGUAAACCUCUUUCACCAUCGACGAAGGUUCGGGUUUUCUCGGAUUGACGGUAGGUGGAGAAGAAGCACCGGCCAACUACGUGCCAGCAGCCGCGGUAAUACGUAGGGUGCGAGCGUUGUCCGGAAUUACUGGGCGUAAAGAGCUCGUAGGUGGUUUGUCGCGUUGUUCGUGAAAUCUCACGGCUUAACUGUGAGCGUGCGGGCGAUACGGGCAGACUUGAGUACUGCAGGGGAGACUGGAAUUCCUGGUGUAGCGGUGGAAUGCGCAGAUAUCAGGAGGAACACCGGUGGCGAAGGCGGGUCUCUGGGCAGUAACUGACGCUGAGGAGCGAAAGCGUGGGGAGCGAACAGGAUUAGAUACCCUGGUAGUCCACGCCGUAAACGGUGGGUACUAGGUGUGGGUUUCCUUCCUUGGGAUCCGUGCCGUAGCUAACGCAUUAAGUACCCCGCCUGGGGAGUACGGCCGCAAGGCUAAAACUCAAAGAAAUUGACGGGGGCCCGCACAAGCGGCGGAGCAUGUGGAUUAAUUCGAUGCAACGCGAAGAACCUUACCUGGGUUUGACAUGCACAGGACGCCGGCAGAGAUGUCGGUUCCCUUGUGGCCUGUGUGCAGGUGGUGCAUGGCUGUCGUCAGCUCGUGUCGUGAGAUGUUGGGUUAAGUCCCGCAACGAGCGCAACCCUUGUCUCAUGUUGCCAGCGGGUAAUGCCGGGGACUCGUGAGAGACUGCCGGGGUCAACUCGGAGGAAGGUGGGGAUGACGUCAAGUCAUCAUGCCCCUUAUGUCCAGGGCUUCACACAUGCUACAAUGGCCGGUACAAAGGGCUGCGAUGCCGCGAGGUUAAGCGAAUCCUUUUAAAGCCGGUCUCAGUUCGGAUCGGGGUCUGCAACUCGACCCCGUGAAGUCGGAGUCGCUAGUAAUCGCAGAUCAGCAACGCUGCGGUGAAUACGUUCCCGGGCCUUGUACACACCGCCCGUCACGUCAUGAAAGUCGGUAACACCCGAAGCCAGUGGCCUAACC
rnacentral:rRNA from 1 species